UACGGGGGGGGCAAGCGUUGUUCGGAAUUACUGGGCGUAAAGGGCUCGUAGGCGGCCAACUAAGUCAGACGUGAAAUCCCUCGGCUCAACUGAGGAACCGCCUUUGAGACUGUCGAGCUCGAGGCCGGGAGGGGGUAGCGGAAUUCCCAGUGUAGCGGUGAAAUGCGUAGAUAUUGGGAGGAACACCAGUGGCGAAGGCGGCUACCUGGACCGGUUCUGACGCUGAUGCGCGAAAGCGUGGGUAGCAAACAGG
rnacentral:rRNA from 1 species